rnacentral:rRNA from 1 species
UACAGGGGGGGCAAGCGUUGUUCGGAAUUACUGGGCGUAAAGGGCCAGUAGGCGGCCAACUAAGUCCGACGUGAAAUCCCCAGGCUUAACCUGGGAACUGCGUCGGAUACUGGAAGGCUUGAAUCCGGGAGAGGGGGGUGGAAUUCCCAGUGUAGCGGUGAAAUGCGUAGAUAUUGGGAGGAACACCGGUGGCGAAGGCGGCCCCCUGGACCGGUACUGACGCUGAGGCGCGAAAGCGUGGGUAGCAAACGGG